rnacentral:rRNA from 1 species
GACGAACGCUGGCGGCGUGCUUAACACAUGCAAGUCGAACGGUAAGGCCCUUCGGGGUACACGAGUGGCGAGUGGGUGAGUAACACGUGGGUGAUCUGCCCUGCACUUCGGGAUAAGCCUGGGAAACUGGGUCUAAUACCGGAUAGGACUCCGGACUGCAUGGUCUGGGGUGGAAAGCUGUUGCGGUGUGGGAUGGGCCCGCGGCCGAUCAGCUUGUUGGUGGGGUGAUGGCCUACCAAGGCGACGACGGGUAGCCGGCCUGAGAGGGUGACCGGCCACACUGGGACUGAGAUACGGCCCAGACUCCUACGGGAGGCAGCAGUGGGGAAUAUUGCACAAUGGGCGCAAGCCUGAUGCAGCGACGCCGCGUGAGGGAUGACGGCCUUCGGGUUGUAAACCUCUUUCAGCAUCGACGAAGCGAAAGUGACGGUAGGUGCAGAAGAAGGACCGGCCAACUACGUGCCAGCCGCCGCUGUAA